GUAACUAUUGGAAACCUCCAGGAGAAGGAGGGCGGCCCUACCCCUACAAGAGUGUGGUGGGCGAGCCGUGAGAAGUCCAACUUCAAACAGCCGCCGCAACGAGACUUAUUGUGGUCGUAUUUCCCAUCGCCUUAUCAUAGCCCAAGCGCAGUGGAGGACACCGGGCGCUUCCCCUGUUGUGGUGCACUUAUAGUGUGGUGAGUGAGAUUGUGUAAUAAAUCUUUUUCACGUUUGGAGUGGUGCUGUGUAUUGCUGUGGGUUGCUGUGUGUCUUGUAGACGAAGCCCCGCAUCAUCCAUUUUCUUCCACUGGGCAGAGGACGGAGAGGCCAAUGACCUCAGAAACUAUUGUUACUGUAUGUAGUGUGCUGUUCGGAGUACGAAGGGACGCAGACAAAGAGCUGUCCGUGACCGUGAGUAAACCAUUGGAAGUAUUCGUGGUGUAAACUUACCUGUGUCUGUUUUGUCGCAGAGUCAGAGGCGAAAGGGUCCGCCGCCCCCGCGGUCUCUACAAAGGGGCGCCCCUGUCCAGGAUUCGAUCGGCCUAUGGGCAUUGGAGAUAGGGCAGCGCUCGACCCGGUGAGGUGGUGUGGGACCUUCGCCCCUCUGCUGAUCUACGGAGGAGAACGUGAUACCUACCCAGAAAGCUGUAAACAGCAGAGCCGCGGCCACCUGUGGAGAGAGAGCAGAACGAAAGUGAAUCAUUGAAGAGCAGACUGUGAACGUGAUACCUACCCAGAAAGCUGUAAACAGCAGAGCCGGUGAGAAAUACUCGAAGUCUCAGUAACAGUGUCUUUGUGUCCUAGCGGCCACCUGUGGAGAGAGAGCAGAACGAAAGUGAAUCAUUGAGGAGCAGACUGUGAACGUGAUACCUACCCAGAAAGCUGUAAACAGCAGAGCCGUGGCCUCCUGUGGAGAGAACGGAAAACGAGAAGGAACAGGAGGAAAAUGGACUGUGUGAAGAUACAGUGGUGGUGGAGGAGAGCCUAGAGUGGCCAUUGUUUUAAGCCCCCCGUUUUCCCUUCCCUAUUUAAUAAUUUUAACUAAUUUAAUAAAGGAUAUUUUAAUAUUAUGCUUACCUUGUGUGUCUGGUCAUUGGGGUGGCUUUGGGAAUCUCCUCGAGGUGGAGAAAGGGGCGUGACCUUAUUUACAUCUGGGUCCACCCCUACCUGUGACAGAUUUGGCGUAGUCGGCAGUCCACCUCGGGUUGAGACCAAGGUCCCCCAAUGGCCUACCACGUUUUUUUAAAAGAAAAGCUCCCAUCAACACCCUAUCAGUCCCUAAACAACGCGUUCUCGGGACGAGAACGGAUUGGCAGGGGAGGAUGUCACAAGGUGACGAUCUUUUGGGCGGAACCAAAAGUCGGGAAACUUUGGUUCCGCCCGGAUGUUUCCGUCCAGACCGGAGAACAGGAACACCGGACAUCCGGCAGAUUCGCGGAGGCUGUAAUCAGCCGAUUGGGCACAGCUGUGCCUAGUUAAAAGAGAUCGCCAGGCAAUUGGAUAACUGAAGCACAGAAAGGAGUAUUUAAAGCACAGUUAAAUGACAGUUCAGCAGUUCGGGCACGAGAGGGGGAUUGACACGGGGAGAGCUCCUCUGCUUAGGGCAGGAGAGGUAAAUACGUACCUUUUGAAGAGCCCGCAGGCUCUGUUGAUCCGGGCUGCGCUAGAAGCGCGCGGAAAGAAGACAGGAGCUGCCUGGGGUGAAAGAAAGGCGAUACGUGAGUGGAGAAAAGGAGCACCCCGAAGAGAGCAUUGUGCUGUCAAGCCUGUGCUUAGUGUGUGCUGGGAAACGGAGCUGUGCUCAUUGUUGGACGUGGUGGUUGUUUGUGUUUCUCUCUCUCCCUCUCUCUCGUUGUAAAUCUUUAUUGUGGACCUGCUGGAGUGAACAGGAAAACCCUAUGGGCAGGAAGGAACGCUGUUCUAACCAAUAUUGAAGGAGUAAAGCAGGAAGAAAAAUUGACCUUCUGGUACAACGUAAACAAAGGCUAUUGGCCGUGAGUAUACCCUUUCUGUGUGGAGUAACUGGCAAAAGUUAACUUGUGUAACUAUUGGAAACCUCCAGGAGAAGGAGGGCGGCCCUACCCCUACAAGAGUGUGGUGGGCGAGCCGUGAGAAGUCCAACUUCAAACAGCCGCCGCAACGAGACUUAUUGUGGUCGUAUUUCCCAUCGCCUUAUCAUAGCCCAAGCGCAGUGGAGGACACCGGGCGCUUCCCCUGUUGUGGUGCACUUAUAGUGUGGUGAGUGAGAUUGUGUAAUAAAUCUUUUUCACGUUUGGAGUGGUGCUGUGUAUUGCUGUGGGUUGCUGUGUGUCUUGUAGACGAAGCCCCGCAUCAUCCAUUUUCUUCCACUGGGCAGAGGACGGAGAGGCCAAUGACCUCAGAAACUAUUGUUACUGUAUGUAGUGUGCUGUUCGGAGUACGAAGGGACGCAGACAAAGAGCUGUCCGUGACCGUGAGUAAACCAUUGGAAGUAUUCGUGGUGUAAACUUACCUGUGUCUGUUUUGUCGCAGAGUCAGAGGCGAAAGGGUCCGCCGCCCCCGCGGUCUCUACAAAGGGGCGCCCCUGUCCAGGAUUCGAUCGGCCUAUGGGCAUUGGAGAUAGGGCAGCGCUCGACCCGGUGAGGUGGUGUGGGACCUUCGCCCCUCUGCUGAUCUACGGAGGAGAACGUGAUACCUACCCAGAAAGCUGUAAACAGCAGAGCCGGUGAGGAAUACUUGAAGUCUCAGUAACAGUGUCUUUGUGUCUUAGCGACCACCUGUGGAGAGAGAGAGAACGAGAGUGAAUCAUUGAAGAGCAGACUGUGAACGUGAUACCUACCCAGAAAGCUGUAAACAGCAGAGCCGCGGCCACCUGUGGAGAGAGAGCAGAACGAAAGUGAAUCAUUGAAGAGCAGACUGUGAACGUGAUACCUACCCAGAAAGCUGUAAACAGCAGAGCCGGUGAGAAAUACUCGAAGUCUCAGUAACAGUGUCUUUGUGUCCUAGCGGCCACCUGUGGAGAGAGAGCAGAACGAAAGUGAAUCAUUGAGGAGCAGACUGUGAACGUGAUACCUACCCAGAAAGCUGUAAACAGCAGAGCCGUGGCCUCCUGUGGAGAGAAUGGAAAACGAGAAGGAACAGGAGGAAAAUGGACUGUGUGAAGAUACAGUGGUGGUGGAGGAGAGCCUAGAGUGGCCAUUGUUUUAAGCCCCCCGUUUUCCCUUCCCUAUUUAAUAAUUUUAACUAAUUUAAUAAAGGAUAUUUUAAUAUUAUGCUUACCUUGUGUGUCUGGUCAUUGGGGUGGCUUUGGGAAUCUCCUCGAGGUGGA